rnacentral:lncRNA from 1 species
AUGCACCUGCUACGCUCCUCCAGCGCCCGGACCUCCAAAGCCGGCCUCUCCCCUCUCCUGCUCCCGGCGGCGUGGGCUAUGGACUCAGGGGCACCUCUGAGCCACCCUGCAGAGGUGCACGUGGCCAUUGCCCUCGGGGCCUGCGGGGCGCUCUGGACACUGGGCAUCCUUCUUUUUGUCAUCCUCUUCCUCACAAACAGAGGGAGGGCGGAGCACUUCCUCCAGGGGCAGCCGUGGCUCUGGGAGCUGACGCACGUCGUGGCCUGGAUCUGGGCAUUCCACCUGGGGCUGACUGCGAACCUGGUGUGGGUCUGGCACCGGCUCCAAGGGCUUGACCCCAGCCAGAGGACACACUGGAUAGACAGGCUCUCCUGGACUUCGCUCACAUUCCUGCCCAUCGUCCCCUUUGCCGCGGUGGUCACCGUCAGCGCUGUGCUUCUGAUCAAGGGACAAGUGUCUUUCCAGCUCAGCAUUCGUGCGAAGAGGUGAAACAGGGUCCCCGCUUCCCCUGAUCCAUGCAGGUCACGAUGGGGGUGGGGAGGCAGGGGGGCAGAGGCAGGUAGGGAGUGGAUGGCGCGUUGGGCAGGGCUUCCCACGCAGCUGUCGCGUCUAGACUGCAGAACUGGGAAGAUGUGAGUCCUGAGAAAACUGGGGGCAGAGGAGAACAAAGCGCUGGCUCAGACCUGUCCUGGGAGGAGGCAUCCGGGGGCAGUAAAGCAGAGACAAGUGACCGAGAGAUCCGGGAUGCUGGGAAGACUUAAAGGCCUCUCUCCACUGAGUCCCUCACUUCGCCCCAGAAAUUAAAGGACGGGGCCAAUCACAGCCCCGUUGUCUUGAGUGUAUGUCAUAUUAUUUUUAUUUAUAAGAUAAAUAUUGUUUUACUAGGAAGAAAAUGCCUCUUGUGUUCCUAAUUUUAAGAGGCUCUGCCACCAGGCAGGUGUGGCUACCAGAGCGCGUCCAGAGGUGAGGGGAUGCCCACAGCUCUGCAGUCGGCCUCCUAAGAGGUCCACACGAGCCUUCCUACUGAUGCAGGCUUCCUUAAACCGUGUUCCUCCCAAACUGCCAGGUGCACAGUUCGUGCCUCUGCCCACGCGGCAGCAAACGUGGACACACCUGCACAGGAGAGGAACUAUGUGAUGACAGGCCCCACGCAGGUGUGGCUUCAAGCUGCAGGUCAAAGGCGGUAGAGACGCACGUCUUUGGGGCACCCAGCGAGGGGCGAGGCGGGGCCUGCCCGGCGCUGGCGCCCCUGGAAGCUGACCCGGGGCUGGUCAGUGGGAUGAGACAGAAGGAGCUCACGUGUGGGCUCAGGAACCCAGAGGGAACCCCAGACAGAGAGGCAGUGGACAAGCGACGGCAUCCGAAUGGACGCGACCUUCCGGGGCCUCCAGGAGUGGAGAGAAUCCCAGAGACGCGGGGUUGUGCGGCGCUCUGUCCCCCUGGGGGGGUGACCUUCGCGGGGGGGGGGG